GACGAACGCUGGCGGCGUGCCUAAUACAUGCAAGUCGAACGCAGUGGGGACGGGUGAGUAACACGUGGGUAACCUCCCAUCAGAGGGGAUAACACUUGGAAACAGGUGCUAAACCGAUACUGAUUUAUGUUCCCGGGGGGCAUUAGCUAGUCGGUGAGGUAACGGCUCACCAAGGCCACGAUGCAUAGCGGAGCUGAGAGGGUGAGCGGCCACACUGGGACUGAGACACGGCCCAGACGCCUACGGGAGGCAGCAGGAGGGAAUAUUCGGCAAUGGACGAAAGCCUGACCGAGCAACGCCGCGUGAGUGAAGAAGGUUUUCGGGUCGUAAAACUCUGUUGUUAGAGAAGCGGUAUCUAACCAGAAAGCCACGGCUAACUACGUGCCAGCAGCCGCGGUAAUAC
rnacentral:rRNA from 1 species